rnacentral:rRNA from 1 species
CCAAUAGCGUAUAUUAAAGUUGUUGCAGUUAGAAAGCUCGUAGUUGAAUUUCGGGAUCAAUAUGUCGGUCGUGCCUCGGUACGUACUGGCGUCAUUGGUUUCUCCCUUCUGAAGAACCGCGAUGUCAUUAAUUUGGUGUCGUGGGGAAUCAGGACUGUUACUUUGAAAAAAUUAGAGUGUUUAAAGACGGCCCGCACUUGAAUACAUUAGCAUGGAAUAUUGAAAUAGGACGUUUGAUUCUAUUUUGUUGGUUUCUAGGAUCGACGUAAUGAUUAAUAGGGAUAGUUGGGGGCAUUAGUAUUCAAUUGUCAGAGGUGAAAUUCUUGGAUUUAUUGAAGACUAACUACUGCGAAAGCAUUUGCCAAGGAUGUUUUCAUUAAUCAAGAACGAAAGUUAGGGGAUCGAAGACGAUCAGAUACCGUCGUAGUCUUAACCAUAAACUAUGCCGACUAGGGAUCGGAUGAUGUUAAUUUUUUAAUGACUCAUUCGGCGCCUUACG